rnacentral:rRNA from 1 species
CAACUCUCAGCAGAGGAUGUCUAGGCUCUCACAUCGAUGAAGAACGCUGCGAACUCCGAUACGUAAUGCGAAUUGCAGAAUUCACUGAGUCAUCGAAAUUUUGAGCGCAUAUUGCACUUCCGGGGUAUGCCUGGAAGUAUAUCUGUAUCAGUGUCCCUA